CUCAGAGGUUCUUCCAGCUUGCCAGAUGAGAUUCCUGAAUAUCUGUCAGAAUGUCAGAUGAUUUGAGGAAACAGACAGAGUCCAGUACAUACCAACCAAUGGCAAGAGUAAAAUGUUCAAGAAAAAGAAGUAUUGGUGUGAUUUCAAAGGAGAAUUACGACUGCCUUAGAUUAAAACUUGAAGGAGGUGACAUUCCCAAGGAUAGCAAGACU